AUGGCUGCAAAGAUGACUACCGAAGUUACAGUAGAGGUUCACCAUAUGCCAAUUUAUCCUGUCAGCGCCGAUGAGUUUGAAGGAAUAACCCUCACGCAAACAGACAUUGAUCUGUUAGCCAGGGCUGAAAGAUUGGUAUCCGAAGACAACCAAGAAACUGAAAAAGCAGUAAAAGCAUUGCUGUGUUCUGAAACCCCACCCCCCGUGCAGGGGACAAAUUGCUGUGUAACUGAAAUUGGUGAAAUUGAGAUUGAGAGCAGACCCUCGGCACUUCAACAUGGGACUGACUCAAGUAAGCAGACGAACAAACUCUCCAGAAGACGUGUGAGACAGCCAGGAGGACCGAAGUCGACUGUACAAGAACCAUCAAAACAGAACCUUCAAACGUGCGCCUCUCUGAGCACUGUGACUCCCACGGCAGCUCCACUCUCCCGUGAACCUUCUGCCCCUGCGAGGAGACGUAGAAUACGGCAAGCGUGUACCACUCUGACCCCUGUACUUACAGCGGCACCAGAUCCUUUCGAACCUGCGAGGCCGAUAAGGAGACGUAGGAACCAGAGACACAAGUCUAACAUUGUUAGGAGAUUGUUUGAUGGUAUAUUUUAUACUAUAUCUUCU
rnacentral:lncRNA from 1 species